AAUCAUUUUCGUGGGGAUACCUCAGCCCGAACGGCAUCGAAGUAACGACUGGAUAAAACAAGCGUCUCAUCCAUAACUCAUG
rnacentral:ncRNA from 1 species